rnacentral:rRNA from 1 species
AGUCGAGGGGCAGCAUUUCAGUUUGCUUGCAAACUGGAGAUGGCGACCGGCGCACGGGUGAGUAACACGUAUCCAACCUGCCGAUAACUCGGGGAUAGCCUUUCGAAAGAAAGAUUAAUACCCGAUGGNAUAAUCAGACCGCAUGGUCUUAUUAUUAAAGAAUUUCGGUUAUCGAUGGGGAUGCGUUCCAUUAGGCAGUUGGUGAGGUAACGGCUCACCAAACCUUCGAUGGAUAGGGGUUCUGAGAGGAAGGUCCCCCACAUUGGAACUGAGACACGGUCCAAACUCCUACGGGAGGCAGCAGUGAGGAAUAUUGGUCAAUGGGCGCAGGCCUGAACCAGCCAAGUAGCGUGAAGGAUGACUGCCCUAUGGGUUGUAAACUUCUUUUAUAUGGGAAUAAAGUUUUCCACGUGUGGAAUUUUGUAUGUACCAUAUGAAUAAGGAUCGGCUAACUCCGUGCCAGCAGCCGCGGUAAUACGGAGGAUCCGAGCGUUAUCCGGAUUUAUUGGGUUUAAAGGGAGCGUAGGUGGACAGUUAAGUCAGUUGUGAAAAGUUUGCGGCUCAACCGUAAAAUUGCAGUUGAUACUGGCUGUCUUGAGUACAGUAGAGGUGGGCGGAAUUCGUGGUGUAGCGGUGAAAAUGCUUAGAUAUCACGAAGAACUCCGAUUGCGAAGGCAGCUCACUGGACUGCAACUGACACUGAUGCUCGAAAGUGUGGGUAUCAAACAGGAUUAGAUACCCUGGUAGUCCACACAGUAAACGAUGAAUACUCGCUGUUUGCGAUAUACAGUAAGCGGCCAAGCGAAAGCAUUAAGUAUUCCACCUGGGGAGUACGCCGGCAACGGUGAAACUCAAAGGAAUUGACGGGGGCCCGCACAAGCGGAAGAACAUGUGGUUUAAUUCGAUGAUACGCGAGGAACCUUACCCGGGCUUAAAUUGCAUUUGAAUANUUUGGAAACAGNNUAGCCGNAAGGCAAAUGUGAAGGUGCUGCAUGGUUGUCGUCAGCUCGUGCCGUGAGGUGUCGGCUUAAGUGCCAUAACGAGCGCAACCCUUAUCUUUAGUUACUAACAGGUCAUGCUGAGGACUCUAGAGAGACUGCCGUCGUAAGAUGUGAGGAAGGUGGGGAUGACGUCAAAUCAGCACGGCCCUUACGUCCGGGGCUACACACGUGUUACAAUGGGGGGUACAGAAGGCAGCUACCUGGUGACAGGAUGCUAAUCCCAAAAGCCUCUCUCAGUUCGGAUCGAAGUCUGCAACCCGACUUCGUGAAGCUGGAUUCGCUAGUAAUCGCGCAUCAGCCAUGGCGCGGUGAAUACGUUCCCGGGCCUUGUACACACCGCCCGUCAAGCCAUGAAAGCCGGGGGUACCUGAAGUACGUAACCGCAAGGAG